AUUGAACGCUGGCGGCAGGCCUAACACAUGCAAGUCGAGCGGAGCGGCGGACGGGUGAGUAAUGCCUAGGUAUCUGCCUGGUCGUGGGGGAUAACGUCCGGAAACGGGCGCUAAUACUGCAUACUAUCAGACGAGCCUAGGUCGGAUUAGCUAGUUGGUGGGGUAAAGGCCUACCAAGGCGACGAUCCGUAACUGGUCUGAGAGGAUGAUCAGCCACACUGGAACUGAGACACGGUCCAGACUCCUACGGGAGGCAGCAGUGGGGAAUAUUGGACAAUGGGCGAAAGCCUGAUCCAGCCAUGCCGCGUGUGUGAAGAAGGUCUUCGGGUUGUAAAGCACUUUAAGUUGGGAGGCGUUACCCGCAGAAGAAGCACCGGCUAACUUCGUGCCAGCAGCCGCGGUAAUUC
rnacentral:rRNA from 1 species